CCCAUGAUGACUGUGCUGGUGACUAGCCAGCACGAGGCCACUGCCACUGGCCGCCGACUCGGGGCUGGAUGCUGCCUCAACACAGCCUUCGGAAGACGUUACCUCCAUUCGCACCAGCUCCAAGGAAGGCAGAUUAGGCGAGCGCCUGAUGUCCCCGAGAAUGUGGACAGGGACCAGAAAGCCACCGUGCGCCAGGCAGGAGUCAGACCCAGCUGUUAGCCCCCUCCCGUGAGCGGCGUGGUGGCCCAGAGUGCAGUGUGCUGCACAGCUGAGAAUCAUCUAGAAGGGCGUAAAGAAUACAUCUGAAAUGUGUUCUGAUGCUGUGAGCAGGAAGAAGUGCACAGUACGGAGACAUAGACAGCACUCCGUCAUCACAGUCAUGUUUGCUGACAGACCAGUGCUUAGUGAUUCUAGCCACUGAAAAGAGGAUAAUUACGUAAUGCGAUAGAGGUGCUAAUUAUCACCACAAUGUCCAUCGCCACGAUUAACAAGGGCACCAAAUUAACAUGUUCGAUACCGCAAAUGUGCACAAUGUUCCAUGUCAAACGUAUCUCAGUAAAAAGAAAUAAACAGAUAAAAUGGA